UGGGGAAUAUUAGGCAAUGGGGGAAACCCUGACCUAGCGACGCCGCGUGCAGGAAGAAGGUUUUCGGAUUGUAAACUGCUUUAGACAGGGAAGAAUAAAGACAGUACCUGUAGAAUAAGCUCCGGCUAACUACGUGCCAGCAGCCGCGGUAAUACGUAGGGAGCAAGCGUUAUCCGGAUUUAUUGGGUGUAAAGGGUGCGUAGACGGGAAAUUAAGUUAGUUGUGAAAUCCCUCGGCUUAACUGAGGAACUGCAACUAAAACUGGUUUUCUUGAGUGCUGGAGAGGAAAGUGGAAUUCCUAGUGUAGCGGUGAAAUGCGUAGAUAUUAGGAGGAACACCAGUGGCGAAGGCGACUUUCUGGACAGUAACUGACGUUGGGGCACGAAAGUGUGGGGAGCAAACAGGAUUAGAUACCCUGGUAGU
rnacentral:rRNA from 1 species